UCAUAAAUUCUGGCGACGUUUGAUAGA
rnacentral:sRNA from 1 species